CCCUUAGAUGUCCUGGGCCGCACGCGCGCUACAAUGAUAAAUUCAGAAUGUUUUUCCUGCCCUGGAAAGGUGUGGGUAAUCAUUAUAGUAUUUAUCGUGUUAGGGAUCGAUCUUUGCAAUUAUAGAUCUUGAACGAGGAAUGCCUAGUAAGUGCAGCUCAUCAGGCUGUACUGAUUACGUCCCUGCCCUUUGUACACACCGCCCGUCGCUCCUACCGAUUUCGAGUGUUCAGGUGAACCUUCUGGACUGAGCUGCAAGGCCCGGGAAGUUAGGUAAAUCUUAACACUUAGAGGAAGGAGAAGUCGUANCA
rnacentral:rRNA from 1 species